rnacentral:rRNA from 1 species
AAACUAAUUUAUUUUGGCGGCAUUUUAUCUAAUUAGAGGAAUCCGUCCUUUAAUCGAUAAUCCACGUUAAAUUUCACUUAAAUCCAAAACCUAUAUACCGCCAUCUUAAGAAUUAAUUUAAAUAUAUUUCUCUUAAAAAUAUAUAAAAAGUUAGGUCAAGGUGUAAUUUAUAUUAAAGAAUGAGAUGAAUUACAUUAAAAACAAUUUAAAGAUUAUUAAUAAAUAUAUCUAUAUAAAUAAGAAUUUAAAAGUAAUAUUUAAAUAAUACUACAAUAUGAUAUAGAGAAUAAAUGUGCACACAUCGCCC